UAGAGUUUGCUUCUGGCUCAGGAUGAACGCUAGCUACAGGCUUAACACAUGCAAGUCGAGGGGCAGCAUGAACUUAGCUUGCUAAGUUUGAUGGCGACCGGCGCACGGGUGAGUAACACGUAUCCAACCUGCCGAUGACUCGGGGAUAGCCUUUCGAAAGAAAGAUUAAUACCCGAUGGCAUAGUUCUUCCGCAUGGUAGAACUAUUAAAGAAUUUCGGUCAUCGAUGGGGUUGCGUUCCAUUAGGCUGUUGGCGGGGUAACGGCCCACCAAGCCUUCGAUGGAUAGGGGUUCUGAGAGGAAGGUCCCCCACAUUGGAACUGAGACACGGUCCAAACUCCUACGGGAGGCAGCAGUGAGGAAUAUUGGUCAAUGGACGAGAGUCUGAACCAGCCAAGUAGCGUGAAGGAUGACUGCCCUAUGGGUUGUAAACUUCUUUUAUAUGGGAAUAAAGUGAGCCACGUGUGGCUUUUUGUAUGUACCAUACGAAUAAGGAUCGGCUAACUCCGUGCCAGCAGCCGCGGUAAUACGGAGGAUCCGAGCGUUAUCCGGAUUUAUUGGGUUUAAAGGGAGCGUAGGCGGACUAUUAAGUCAGCUGUGAAAGUUUGCGGCUCAACCGUAAAAUUGCAGUUGAUACUGGUCGUCUUGAGUGCAGUAGAGGUAGGCGGAAUUCGUGGUGUAGCGGUGAAAUGCUUAGAUAUCACGAAGAACUCCGAUUGCGAAGGCAGCUUACUGGACUGUAACUGACGCUGAUGCUCGAAAGUGUGGGUAUCAAACAGGAUUAGAUACCCUGGUAGUCCACACAGUAAACGAUGAAUACUCGCUGUUUGCGAUAUACGGCAAGCGGCCAAGCGAAAGCGUUAAG
rnacentral:rRNA from 1 species